rnacentral:lncRNA from 1 species
UGAUUGUUUUGUGGUCUUAAAUCUGAAACGCGAUUUCUCCUUGGGCUUUAAGUACAGAUAUUGCUUAAUAAGGACGUUGGAGAAGUUUUCAGUAUCCAGUUUCCUGAUCAGGAAGGAAGAAGAAUGUUUUUGGAGGACUUAAUCAUGAGUGGAGCUGAUGCUGAACCUUCACUUGCAACCAGCAAGCAGGCUGGGCAUACAUGGGAAGCACUGCCUGCAGCAGCACCAGCUGAGCUCCGUGUGCCAGAGGAAGGAACGUGGCAUCUGGAGGAGCGGGAGGAGGAGACCCUGCGUGACUCUGCGUGUUCUGCAGGGCCGUUCCUCACAGACUGCCACUGACAGACAUUGGGGCAUUGCAGAGCCUGUUGGUGCGGAGGAGGUCCCAGUGACGGCACAGGCAUUAAACAGCCCGGAACUCAUCGCUGGGGAGAGGCUGCGCAUCGUGUUGUGAAAGGAGAGAUGGAGGAGGGGUUUGAACAGUGUUGUGCAGAAUGGAAAGCUGGUAAGAGAAGAGGUGUGUGUUCUGAGAGCGAGGGCUGUAUGGCUCAUCUCUGUGUUCUACCAGGAAAUGCAAGGCAGAGCUCUUUGCUCUCUGUUCUUUCUUGCAAGGUUGCGGCCCUUCAAAGUGCAGUGCUAUGACAGCCCAGGGAUGGCAGUAGGAGAUGCAGCACAGCCCUCUCCAGCAGCAAGGUGCAUUGGUUUGUCCAGCUAAUCCUUGAAGUAGAAGGUCUGUUUAGUUGC